rnacentral:rRNA from 1 species
UAGUGGCGCACGGGUGCGUAACGCGUGGGAAGUCUGCCCUCGGUUGGGAAUAACACAGAGAAAUUUGUGCUAAUACCUUAUAAUGUCUUCGGACCAAAGAUUUAUCGCCGAGGGAUGAGCCCGCGUAGGAUUAGGUAGUUGGUGGGGUAAUGGCCUACCAAGCCGACGAUCCUUAGCUGGUCUGAGAGGAUGAUCAGCCACACUGGGACUGAGACACGGCCCAGACUCCUACGGGAGGCAGCAGUGGGGAAUAUUGGACAAUGGGCGAAAGCCUGAUUCCCAGCAAUGCCGCGUGAGUGAUGAAGGCCUUAGGGUUGUAAAGCUCUUUUACCCGGGAUGAUAAUGACAGUACCGGGAGAAUAAGCUCCGGCUAACUCCGUGCCAGCCGCCGC